GCUACACGAAGAACCUUACCAGGUUUGACAUACAAGUAGUAGGGAAGGAACUGCGACCUCGGGAGCUGUACAGGUGCUGCAUGGCUGUCGUCAGCUCGUGUCGUGAGAUGUUCGGUUAAGUCCGCUAACGAGCGCAACCCUCGCUGUGUGUUACAAGUGUCACACGGAACUGCCGGUCAUAAACCGGAGGAAGGUGGGGAUGACGUCAAGUCAGCAUGGCCUUUAUAUCCUGGGCUACACACACGCUACAAUGGGAAGGGACAAUAGGUUGCGAAGCCGCGAGGCGGAGCCAAUCCAGCAAACUUCCCUCAGUUCAGAUUGCAGGCUGCAACUCGCCUGCAUGAAGUUGGAGUUGCUAGUAAACGCAGGUCAGCCAUACUGCGUUGAAUACGUUCCCGGGCUU
rnacentral:rRNA from 1 species